GGGAGGGGGGAGGCUGAUGGCACCCCUUCGUCCAGCCAGACCUACUCUAACAGAAAGAGGUGUCGGCUUGGUGUCACUUCUUCCUGGGGCCACGAGGGGACUUUAUCCAUGUACUUGAAUGUCCAGGUAAUUAGGAUGUGUUUAGAAAGGAAAAAUUUUUUUUUUUUUCUUUUUUCUGAACAUUGUAGACUGAAGCAGUCUGGGGGUGAGUGACUUCCCAGAGCUGCUAAUCUGCUGUACCUGGUUUGCCUCUUGGCACCAUGAGAGAUGUGUGUUGACUGACAGGCUGCUGAGAACCGAGUGCCCCAGUUUGAGGAUGUCAUAUCCCAUUUCUUUACUUCUGGCUGGAGGGAGUGGUCUGGUUCAUUUAUCAACUCAGCCCCUUUCCUGUGCAGAAAGGAGAAAAAUCUCCACCAGGGAUUUUUCAGCAUUGCCUUUCUAUGAUGAGCUCUCUUUUAAAAGAGAAAUCAAAAAUGUUGCUUAAACUCCUUUCCUUUGGUUCUUUCUUUUCUUAGCAUUACAUUACUUAUGUAGAGCCCUGCUGGACGUGUAGGAAAUAAAGGAAAGCCAGCUUAGAAAUGUACUGCAAACCUGGAUCGGGUUUGGAUCUGCUUUAUAGUCUACAAAAUCACCCAGGAUUGUUGGUUUUAAAGGUGGUGAAAAGGUGGUUGCUUGCUCCUCACACACACAUCCCUGUUCCCCAACCCCUCCUCCCUCCUCCAAAAUGCACUGCAAGUAAAAGUCUGACUCUUGAAGUACAGAGAAUGGUUAGAGGGAACAGAGCAGACCCUCAACCCCAAGAAGGCAAUCAGUACUGCUGGUUUUAGGCUGAGGUUUAAUUUCAGCCUCUGAUAGAUGUGUCUGUAAUGUUAAGCUGUCCUCAACUCCCGGUUUCCUAGAAGCCACUUCAGCGAGCUUGGCUGCUGCUGUGAAUGGCUCUGCUGGCAGCCUCUACCCUGUCACUGCCACUGUUGUUUCUGAGCCUCCAGGCUAAAGCUCUGGGAGGAGCUGGCCAGCCUGCUCCUGCCGCCCGGUGAGUUGCAUCACUUGUGAAAGGCAAGUAUAGAUGGGGAUUGAAUUUCAGGCUUUCCCUGGGUGUUGGAGAUCGUGUGCCUGUGUGUAUAUGCACACCCAUUCUUCAUCAAACACCCAUCAACGAAGCAGUCACCAGCUGGAACAGAACAUUUAUUGUGGGCUGUUAAAAGGGUUUCUCAUUAGCUAUGGCACCAAAUUCCUAGCUUCCAUUUUGGCUCAAGAACGAGCCUAAAACCCACAUGUGAUAAUGUAAUUCAUUAAAAGCUUGCGGGGCACUGAGCCAGCCCUGUUGGUGAAGGAGUUACUAGAAAGGGACCAGGAGUCCUUUUUCCCUCCCCCAUUCCCCAAUUAAUUUAACUCUCACCAUAAAGCUGCUAUAAACCAGAAUCCAGUUUUUUAUUCAUAAGGCACCAGAGUAGAACUAUUCCUUGCCACCCUCCUAUUUCAGCAGUUGAAUUUCCUGGAAGGGUGACAGGCUUCACUUCUCUACAUUUAGGAAGGACAGUGGCUGCUCCUCAGCAGGAGACUGUCCUGAGGUUGAAAUUGACAAGGAAGCCAGGCAUCUUGGCUUGGACCGUGAACUAGUCAAAAGGUUUGCAUAGCUGUCUCUGACUACAAACAUCGCAUGAGUAUUAGUUGGAACAGUGCAAUGAAGUAAGCAACAGUUUAGUUUUGAAGCCUGAAUGCUUUAAAACAGUUAUCUGAGGUAAAAUGUUCAAAAUUGAUUUUGAGAGCUUCAUCCUAAAGCUGAGAGUGGAAGGAUCAGGUGUGGUCGUCCGUGGCCUUGUGAGGCUGAGCUGCCACACAGACUGCAGCCGCAGUGGGAAAACCAUGGCAGACUCCAGGGCUGUUAGUGUUUUGGGCUUCCUGAUGCCCUCCCUCCUACCCACCCACCCAAUGUCAGUGAUAACAAGUUUCCACUGCAAAACUCUUGCCCUCCACCCACCUGCUCCUCUCAGAAUGGGGGACUGGUCUAUGGCCCCAGGGCAGAAGCCAGUAGCAUCCGUGAAUAAGGACUACAUCUGUAAACAGUCAGGAGAAAGCCUUACAGGAGGUGGACAGAACUUACAGGAGGCCCUUCAACAGGCCUAAUAGAAGGGUCACGUCCAAACUGGAGUGAACAGUUAACAGUGUCCCUUAAAUCUCUCUCUGGAAGGAAGGAAAGAUAGUUACAUUCACAGGUUCCUAUCUCUGUGACACUGAGGCCUUGGACUCCUCACCGCCUCUCAGAGGGGUGUAUAUUGGUUAUCUAUGGCCCGCAGUCGGCUCCCGGAAGAUGAGUCCAGUUCGUAGUCUGAAUCCCGGGCCCGACUCUCGGACUCCAGCUCCAGGUGCUGCAGGCUGCUGGCCAGUUCCUCAGGUGAAGGCACCAGGUGGAAGAUCUGCUCUGGGGACGAGGAGCUGCCUGGGAGACCCUCUGGGCUGAGCCCCCGAGGACAGCCAGCAGCGCUAAAGUGGGGAAGGCCCAGCUCUGAAUCCCAGCGAGAGAGGGAGAAGGGGAACAGGACAGUGUUGCAGGAACCUGGGAACAAGUGACCGAGAGAGAGCACACUGAGUCUUGACGGGUAAGUUUUCUGACAAGACCACAAAAUGAGAUCUCUUUGCCCCUGGGCCUACAGUCAGCUCUCCCCCACUGCCCUGUCUUCCUGUGCAGUCCACCCCUCUUUAUCGAUGGGCUUUAGGGUCACACCUGGUGGCUGGGAGACGACCACCACGUAGCUGGACAGCCGAACAUCACAGGCAGCACCGCACUCGAGCGGGAUGGGCGAGCGCUGGAAGUGGUGCAGCAUGUCCUCCACUGAGGGGAAGUGCAGGUGCUGCACUCGGCACUGGCCCCGCUCGGUCAGGGACAGGCGCAGGUGCUGUGGGCGGGAGAUGCUUGGCUUGGGGACUGUCCUCCGAGGGCCUUGCAGAACUUCUCAGGGGGCAGCCUCCCCGCCUUGUCCCUUACCUUAGCUAUGCCCUGGAAGUUGAAUGUGAGCACAUACUCGCCACGCCGUGUCUCACUUUGCCGUACCAGGAACACUCCAUGAGCAUCAGGGCCCUGCAGCUGAACCAGCUGAGCUGCCUUCACUCGGGAAAUGGGGCCGUGGAACCAGGGGUAGCAGGACAGGAAGUGCUCGGUUUUCUGACAGGCUGGGUCCAGCAACCCCCCAGGAGAAGCACCUGGUAGAGAAGAGCCUCCAGCCCUGUCCUCAUCAGCUGGGCCCAGCAGGUCCCUGGGUGCAACCAGCACCUCCAGUUGCUGACCAUUACCACGGGUUGACUGCAUCAUCUCACUGCAUGCGACGUGAGGGAACGCAGCUCAGACAAGUUUUCAACUACUAAGUUCCCACCCGAGUGACCAUUACCAGCCAGGGCAUGUUCACCUUCAGGAUCCUCUUACUACCACUACCAGACCCCCCUUUCUCUGCCUGGGAGCGAAUGAGAUGUGGGGAGCACACCCUGCUGGAGGCCGUGCCAUGGGGCGAGGGCACUGGCCCUAAAGGGCACCACAGUGUGGGGAUCAGGACCUGUGCUCAAGAGCCUGUUUCCUGUCUUCUACAUGGGUCAAGCCAGGACAGCAGGUAGCUGAGCUCUGGAGCCACCUUAGAGUCACACUGUCCUUAGGCCAAACCAUUCCAGGUAUUUGUGAAGGGGCAAGAGAAUGAUGUCUCCCACCACAGUGUGCAUGUAGUGUCCCAGCGGUGGGGCUUGCAUUUCUAGAUUUUUAGGGCUCACUUUACCAGUCUAGGGUCCAGGGCUCAGUCCUGCUCCGCCUCUCCUUAUGUACCUUGGACAGGAGGCUCAGCCCUCCAUGCCUUAGUUUUGUCAUCUGUAACAUAGAGGUAUUUUACAGGUCCUUUCUUCACAGGACUGGUAUGAUGACUGUGUGUGCUGACAAACAACUACUGUUAAAUUUCCAGGCUCGGAUCUGGGGCCGGCCACAGUGGGUAAACCCAGCCUGUGUCCACUGCAGUAUUACAGCUUCCUCUCCAAGCGGCCCAGAAGCUGGGCAUACGCGAGCGCUCUCUCAACCUUACACACAUCGUCCCCUUUGUAACACAUUCCUUUACCAUCCUGUAAUGAAAUGCACAUGGAAUAUGAUCUCUCUACCUACAUAUCCAAACUAUGUAAGAUAAAGGGAAAAUAAAGGCAUGCAACCUGUAUUAAAACAAUGUAGUCA